ACGGGUGAGUAAUGUCUGGGGAUCUGCCCGAUAGAGGGGGAUAACCACUGGAAACGGUGGCUAAUACCGCAUAACGUCGCAAGACCAAAGAGGGGGACCUUCGGGCCUCUCACUAUCGGAUGAACCCAGAUGGGAUUAGCUAGUAGGCGGGGUAACGGCCCACCUAGGCGACGAUCCCUAGCUGGUCUGAGAGGAUGACCAGCCACACUGGAACUGAGACACGGUCCAGACUCCUACGGGAGGCAGCAGUGGGGGAUAUUGCACAAUGGGCGCAAGCCUGAUGCAGCCAUGCCGCGUGUAUGAAGAAGGCCUUCGGGUUGUAAAGUACUUUCAGCGGGGAGGAAGGCGAUAAGGUUAAUAACCUUGUCGAUUGACGUUACCCGCAGAAGAAGCACCGGCUAACUCCGUGCCAGCAGCCGCGGUAAUACGGAGGGUGCAAGCGUUAAUCGGAAUUACUGGGCGUAAAGCGCACGCAGGCGGUCUGUUAAGUCAGAUGUGAAAUCCCCGGGCUUAACCUGGGAACUGCAUUUGAAACUGGCAGGCUUGAGUCUCGUAGAGGGGGGUAGAAUUCCAGGUGUA
rnacentral:rRNA from 1 species